ensembl:lncRNA LINC03002 long intergenic non-protein coding RNA 3002
UUGUGUCUUGUAAGAAUUGGUCAUUGUUUCAUGGGGACGACUGGCUCCUUUGGGUGGGAUCUGAUGGCAUCUCAUGGAGUUGAGGAUAUGGUAGUACUAACAGGAAACCUAGAACUUUAGCUUUCAAGACAUGCUCCUGAUUCUCUUUGUGUAGAAGCAGCCUAGAUUGAAUCACUGCCUUCUUUGCCUGUUGAUUCAAUGGCAUGAGUCAAAGCGGUCAGGUGGCACUCCAGAUCAACCGAGUCAUCAUAUGUCCCCUGACAGAAGAACUCCUCCUUUUGGAACUAAGACCUCUUUACCACCCGAGCCUGAUGUCACAGGGACUGGAAGCAAUCGUUUGUUAGUGAACUGCUAGGGAUAAUAGUGAGAAGAUCCUGUCCUAUUUCCACCCCUUGAUCCCCGUACGCAUGAGUUCUGGCUAAGGAAGAAACAGAAAUAUAUGUUGGAUGCUGAUCUAGAGCAUACUUUGCAUCCUAAAAGACCAUACAUGAGUCUCCAAAAGGACAUUCCACCAUUCUAUCAAGCCAGCUGCUUCAGGGUGACGGGGAACACGACUGAUGUCAACUUUUGUCUCGUAAUACACGAAUCUAUGAGUUUCUCUCAGAAAAUGGUUGUCUGCCAACGCUAACUGGCCAGCUCUGACAGGAGGUGCGUGGCCCAGGAGGAGCCAUCAGGCCAGUUCUCUGGGAUACUGCUGUGUCUCCAGCUCUGCAGUUUGCUCUUCGUCACUCAGCGGCAGACGGAGAGGCAGACACGAGCCCCUUGUGAGCCCUCCUCCUUACCGUCAUCUCACAAUGCUCUGAAAUAAGGAGGCAAAUGGCUGAGGUCCCCUCAGUUGUAGAUGUGAUUGAGUUCUAUCUACCAGAAGCAUAUGCCUCCUGGAAGCCUGGUUCUAACACCUCCCACAAAAUCCUUCAAGCACUUUUUUCUGUUCCAAGGUUUGCUUAUGGGGGACCCAGUGAAGUGCUUCAGAGCCCUAGAGAUUUGCUGAGUCAUAUGAGGGGUCAGCAAACUUUUCCUGUAAAGGGUCAGAUAAUAAACAUUUUAAGCUUUGUAGACUGUAUAAA